AUUCUGAAAUAUUUCUCUUCCUCUCCACACAAUUCCAUCCUGUCUCCCAUGCCAGAGGGCUAGUGGGAUACUUAUUUAUACCGCUGCAGCAGUGCCGUACUUUAAGAUUGCCAAAGAACCAGGCAACGUGAGUAUCCAGGUGCACAGAAUCGUCAGGAAUUGUGAUACCCCACACCCAAUCUUACAUUAGCCUCUUGCAUUUGUCAUGAUUAGCUCAUCAAUAUUGACAUACUGUUAUUAAUUAAAGUGCAUACUUUGUUCAGAUUUUCUUAUUUUUUACCUAAUAUUCUCCUUCUAUUCCAGGAUUCUAUCAGGAUGCAACACUGUAUUUAGUCAUCAUGACUCCUUCAUCACCUCCUGCUUUGACACUUUCAGAAUUUCUUCAUUUUAGAUGACCUUGGCAGUUUUUAGGAGUGCUGGUCAGGUAUUUUGUAAAAUGUUUCUCAUUUGGGAUUUGUCUGAUUUUUUCUCGUGAUUAGACUGAAGUUAAGAGUAAGAAGAAGACAACAGAGGUAAAGUGCCAUUCUUAUCACAUCAUAUUAAGGAUGCAUAUGACAUCAGGGUUGUGUUUUGAUCUGAACCCCUUGGAAGAGGCAGUGUUUAUCAGGUUUUUCCACUAUAAAGUUAGUAUUUUUUCUGCCUUUCCAUACUGCAUUCUUUGGAAGGAAGCCAUUUAAUCCAAUCCAUAAGAAAGGAAUGUAAGCUUAUGUUCCACCUCCUUGAGAGCAGAAUAUCUUCAUAAAUUAUCUGGAAUUUCCUAUGCAAGAGUAUAUUUGUGUAUUCUUCUCCAUGAACCUAUUUAUCCAGUCAUUUGUUUAUAUCAGGAUGAGCUUAUAAGUAUUUAUUUGAUACUCUGGGAUAUGAUUAAAUAUGUUCAUGAUUCUUCGACAUGUACUGGAUUUUGCCAUUUUAAGAGCUUUCGGAAGGUUCAAAUGUCCCUUUGACAUACCCCAUACCCUCAUUAUUGGGUGAGUGAUCGUGUAUGUAUAUGGGUCUUUGGAUACUUCUUUAAAUUUUGACACCACAAGAUGCUCCAGGAUUAUAUUAUAUAUUUCCUGCCCAACAACCAGUCAUUUCUUCAGGAAGCCAUGGUUCUUUUCAUUGGACGACGGUUUUAGAAACAAGGUCUAGAUCCCAAAUAUGCCUGUUGCUGCUGGAAUAUCUUUGUUUCUUGGCCCUCUCAGAGUAAAAGAAUAUAUGUGUGUAUACUAACCAGUAUACACACAUAUAUUUAUAAAUAUUUCUAUAUGUAUCUAUUUUUAUCUAUAUUGAGCUAAACAUAAUUUAUACUGAUAUCUCCAACUCUAAUUCAUUAACUACCUUAUAGGUAAGUAAUGCAUCCAUGUUUCUCCCCUUGUUUGUUUGUCACCUCCCACUUCAAAAGUGAGAAAACUGGCUCUCACCUUCAGCCAUCUAUUACUUAAUUUUUCAGUUCCAGGAUUCAUGUAUAGUUGGUUCAAAAUAGUUAAUCCAUAUUCCCGUGGAAAACAACUUUAUGAACUAGAAUAUAGUCUUCAUCAGCUCAUAGAGUGCUUAUAGGGCUUUUGCCAUCAGUCUUAGUUUCCAUUCCUUUCCAAAGUUGCUUAGAGUGGCACCUUUUUCCCGCAGUGCCUUUUCAUUAGGUUUUUCAGAAAUUUGUAAUAGCCCUCAAAUUUCCUAGAGGACCAACACAAGAAAUGUUUAUUCGAGCAAUUAUAUAUCUUGCUUAUUUAUAAACAUGAAAUAAACACCUUCCUAAUUCAAUAACAGAUUAAAAAAUUCAAUACCCAGAAGAAUAUGUGUGCUUAAUUUUAUCUUUAAAGGUAUAUUCUCAGAAUAAAGUAACUACAUACCUAAGUACUUUUCUUGUUUUACCUUACUUUCUGAACCAAAGCUAAAUUUGAAUCUCAAGCACAGUAAUUCAUUCUGCAGUGUCCAAUAGUAGCUAUCCCAGCUUCUUUUCAUUGGUUUUGAUUUCUCUUCGAUUUAGUAAAUCAUGUUGUUUAUAUCCUAUUUAUUUUUAAGAUGCCUCGGUAAUUUUCAUGAAUUAGCAGCAUUAAAAACAUAAAUAAAUAAUCUGAAUUAUUGAGUCUCCAAAGUUCUGAACAUACUGAACUCUUCAUGUGUAUAUGUAUGUAAAAUAUGUACUACAUGAAAACACU
rnacentral:lncRNA from 10 species